AGCGAACGCUGGCGGCAGGCCUAACACAUGCAAGUCGAACGGAUCCUUCGGGAUUAGUGGCGGACGGGUGAGUAACACGUGGGAACGUGCCCUUUGGUUCGGAACAACUCAGGGAAACUUGAGCUAAUACCGGAUGUGCCCUUCGGGGGAAAGAUUUAUCGCCAUUGGAGCGGCCCGCGUCUGAUUAGCUAGUUGGUGAGGUAAAGGCUCACCAAGGCGACGAUCAGUAGCUGGUCUGAGAGGAUGAUCAGCCACAUUGGGACUGAGACACGGCCCAAACUCCUACGGGAGGCAGCAGUGGGGAAUCUUGCGCAAUGGGCGAAAGCCUGACGCAGCCAUGCCGCGUGAAUGAUGAAGGUCUUAGGAUUGUAAAAUUCUUUCACCGGGGACGAUAAUGACGGUACCCGGAGAAGAAGCCCCGGCUAACUUCGUGCCAGCCGCCGCAGUAACAC
rnacentral:rRNA from 1 species